rnacentral:rRNA from 1 species
CAGCAGCCGCGGGAAUACGUAGGUGGCAAGCGUUGUCCGGAAUUAUUGGGCGUAAAGGGCUCGCAGGCGGUUUCUUAAGUCUGAUGUGAAAGCCCCCGGCUCAACCGGGGAGGGUCAUUGGAAACUGGGAAACUUGAGUGCAGAAGAGGAGAGUGGAAUUCCACGUGUAGCGGUGAAAUGCGUAGAGAUGUGGAGGAACACCAGUGGCGAAGGCGACUCUCUGGUCUGUAACUGACGCUGAGGAGCGAAAGCGUGGGGAGCGAACAGGAUUAGAUACCCGUGUAGUCCCUGUCUCUUAUAU